AUGCAUCAGCCCCCUGAUGGCAAGUUCUACCUAGGAGAUGUUGGCUAUGCAUAUCGGUCAGGUGUUCUUCCACCCUUCAUUAAAACCAGGUACUAUCUAAACGAGUUCUCUGGUAGGAACUACCCUACGACUCCACAGGAGUUCUUCAAUCUCAGACAGGUCAGCCUUCGAGUAACGGUUGAGAGGGCAUUUGGAGCUCUCAAGAAUAGGUUCAAGAUCCUGAAUCAGAAGCCAUUCCACCCUUACACUACCCAGGUCAAGCUUGUUCUUGCAUGUUGCAUUCUGCAUAACUGGAUCCUGCAAUAUUGUGUUGACGAAUUGGUGCCUGAGGAGGAAGAGGUGACUGAUACAUCUCCAACAUAUCUAUAA
rnacentral:rRNA from 1 species